UACAGAGGAUGCAAGCGUUAUCCGGAAUGAUUGGGCGUAAAGCGUCUGUAGGUGGCUUUUUAAGUCCGCCGUCAAAUCCCAGGGCUCAACUCUGGACAGGCGGUGGAAACUACCAAGCUGGAGUACGGUAGGGGCAGAGGGAAUUUCCAGUGGAGCGGUGAAAUGCGUAGAGAUUGGAAAGAACACCGAUGGCGAAGGCACUUUACUGGGCUAUUACUGACACUGAGAGACGAAAGCUAGGGUAGCAAAUGGG
rnacentral:rRNA from 1 species